rnacentral:rRNA from 1 species
AUUGAACGCUGGCGGCAUGCCUUACACAUGCAAGUCGAACGGCAGCACGGACUUCGGUCUGGUGGCGAGUGGCGAACGGGUGAGUAAUGUAUCGGAACGUACCUUUCAGUGGGGGAUAACGUAGCGAAAGUUACGCUAAUACCGCAUAUUCUGUGAGCAGGAAAGCAGGGGAUCGAAAGACCUUGCGCUGAUUGAGCGGCCGAUAUCAGAUUAGCUAGUUGGUGGGGUAAAGGCCUACCAAGGCGACGAUCUGUAGCGGGUCUGAGAGGAUGAUCCGCCACACUGGAACUGAGACACGGUCCAGACUCCUACGGGAGGCAGCAGUGGGGAAUUUUGGACAAUGGGGGCAACCCUGAUCCAGCCAUGCCGCGUGAGUGAAGAAGGCCUUCGGGUUGUAAGGCUCUUUCGGCCGGGAAGAAAUCGCAUAGGCUAAUACCCUGUGUGGAUGACGGUACCGGAAUAAGAAGCACCGGCUAACUACGUG